rnacentral:misc_RNA from 1 species
GAUGAAGAACGUAGCGAAAUGCGAUAAGUAGUGUGAAUUGCAGAAUUCAGUGAAUCAUCGAAUCUUUGAACGCACAUUGCGCCCCUUGGUAUUCCAUGGGGCAUGCCUGUUCGAGCGUCAUUUGUACCUUCAAGCUUUGCUUGGUGUUGGGUGUUUGUCUCGCCUUUGCGUGUAGACUCGCCUUAAAAUAAUUGGCAGCCGGCGUAUUGAUUUCGGAGCGCAGUACAUCUCGCGCUUUGCACUCAUACGACAGCGUCCAAAAGUACAUUUUACACUCUUGACCUCGGAUCAGGUAGGGAUACCCGCUGAACUUAAGCAUAUCAAUAAGCGGAGGA